rnacentral:rRNA from 1 species
UGGUGACCAGCGGAGGGAUCAUUACUGAGUUACAAACUCCAAACCUUUGUGAACAUACCACAGUUGCUUCGGCGGCCUCGCCCCGGGCGCGGCGGGACCCUCUCGGGGGGAACGCGGCGACCCGGACCCAGGCGACCGCCGGGGGACCCAAACUCUUGUCUUUUAGUGUAUUAUCUGAGUGGCAUAAGCAAAAUAAAUUAAAACUUUCAGCAACGGAUCUCUUGGUUCUGGCAUCGAUGAAGAACGCAGCGAAAUGCGAUAAGUAAUGUGAAUUGCAGAAUUCAGUGAAUCAUCGAAUCUUUGAACGCACAUUGCGCCCGCCAGUACUCUGGCGGGCAUGCCUGUCCGAGCGUCAUUUCAACCCUCAGCACCCCCGUUCGCGGCGGGAGCUGGCGUUGGGGAUCGGCCGUCCUCUGCGGCGGCCGGCCCCGAAACGAAGUGGCGGUCACGUCGCGACCUCCUCUGCGUAGUAGCAAUAUCUCGCAGCCUGGAUAGCGGCGCGGCCAUGCCGUAAAACCCCAACUUUUUCAAGGUUGACCUCGGAUCAGGUAGGAAUACCCGCUGAACUUAAGCAUAUCAAUAAGCGGAGGA